rnacentral:rRNA from 1 species
GUAGCCGGCCUGAGAGGGUGAUCGGCCACACUGGGACUGAGAUACGGCCCAGACUCCUACGGGAGGCAGCAGCUAAGAAUCUUCCGCAAUGGACGAAAGUCUGACGGAGCGACGCCGCGUGGGUGAAGAAGGCCGGAAGGUUGUAAAGCCCUUUUCUCGUUGAGGAAUAAGCACAGGAGGGAAUGCCUGUGCGAUGACGGUAGGCGAGGAAUAAGUCCCGGCCAAUUACGUGCCAGCAGCCGCGGUAACACGUAUGGGACGAGCGUUGUUCGGAAUCAUUGGGCGUAAAGGGCGCGUAGGCGGCGAGGUAAGCCUGGUGUGAAAGACCGCAGCUUAACUGCGGAACCGCGCUAGGAACUGCUUUGCUUGAGUUCAGGAGGGGGAGCUGGAAUUCCAGGUGUAGGGGUGAAAUCUGUAGAUAUCUGGAAGAACACCGGCGGCGAAGGCGAGCUCCUGGCCAUGAACUGACGCUGAGGCGCGAAAGCGUGGGGAGCGAACAGGAUUAGAUACCCUGGUAGUCCACGCUGUAAACGAUGUGCACUAGGUGUUGGGCCACGAAGGUUCAGUGCCGGAGUCAACGCGUUAAGUGCACCGCCUGGGGAGUAUGCUCGCAAGGGUGAAACUCAAAGGAAUUGACGGGGGCCCGCACAAGCGGUGGAGCAUGUGGUUUAAUUCGAUGAUACGCGAGGAACCUUACCAGGGUUUGACAUAUGCCGGAAUGUGCAGGAGACUGCGCAGCCCUUCGGGGCCGGUAUACAGGUGCUGCAUGGCCGUCGUCAGCUCGUGCUGUGAGGUGUUGGGUUAAGUCCCGCAACGAGCGCAACCCCUACCGUCUGUUGCCAGCAUUCAGUUGGGGACUCAGGCGGAACUGCCGGUGACAAACCGGAGGAAGGUGGGGACGACGUCAGGUCAUCAUGGCCCUUAUAUCCUGGGCUACACACGUGCUACAAUGGCCGGUACAGAGCGAAGCAACACCGCGAGGUAGAGCAAAUCGCAGAAAGCCGGUCUCAGUUCGGAUUGGAGUCUGAAACCCGACUCCAUGAAGUUGGAAUCGCUAGUAAUCGCGCAUCAGCAUGGCGCGGUGAUACGUUCCCGGGCCUUGUACACACCGCCCGUCACACCACCCGAGUUGGGGGUACCCGAAGUCGUUUGCCUAACCUGCAAAGGAGGGCGGCGCCGAAG